rnacentral:lncRNA from 1 species
CUCACCUUUCCUCUUUUAGCAAAAAUAUCAGCCUUUUUUUUCCCUUUAAUUUCAAAAAAAUUAUGCAUCACUCUUUGGAAUUCUCCAAAUCACCAUAGUUCAGAUUUCAGAGAAGAGUGAUUCUUAGAAUGAUUUGCACUUUAAGCAUGAAGAGUGACAGCCAAAUGGCUCCUGUACCCAGUUAACCAUGUUAACUUCCAGUGUUUAAAGCUAAAAACUGCAACUCAUUAAAAACCAAAACCAAACCAAACAAACUCAUGGACAGGGGAGAACAGACUUAUGGUUGCCAAGGGGGAGGGGAGGGAGUGGGAUGGACUGGAAAUUUGGGGUUAGUAGAUGCAAACUAGCAUUUGGAGUUUAUAAGCAAUGAGAUCCUGCUGUGUAGCACAGGGAACUAUAUCUAAUCACUUGUGAUGGAAAAUGAUGAAGGAUAAUAUGAGAAAAAUAAUGUAUAUAUAUUUAUAACUGGGUCACUUUGUUGUACAGCAGAAAUUGACAGAACAUUGUGUGUCAGCUGUAAUAAGAAUAAUUUAAAAAAAACCAAACAGACCCCAAAUACAAGAUUCCCUAUCAUCCAAUUAAUGGAUGCAAAACCUUCUUGAAUUAUUGGACUUGGCUGUUCUCAUGAGGGCAUUAUGAAAGGAAGCAGAAGCUCGUUUUUUAGAGCCUGCACCUUGUUAAGCUUUACCUCUCAUCAUGAAGGGUGAUCUCUAAGCAACAGAGUCACCCAUUUUUUUCAUUGAUUCAAUGGUCAGGUACCAGAUCGAAAGACUACAGAAUGAAUUAAGAUACAGUCUUUCUUUUCUUGGCGUUCAAGCAUAUAAAACUGUAAAAUUAUAUAUUUAUAUAAAAUAUAAUAUCAUAUAUAGCAUGUUAUAUGUUUAUUAUAUGACCAUAAUUUUAUAUACAAUAAUGGAAAAUGAGUUAUGGAAAGACAAAAGUGCAACUGAUAGUUUAACCUGGAAUGGUUGAAAAGGCUUCACAGAGGAGGUGACAGUUGAGGCUUGAAAUGUCACCCAGUAGAAAGGCAUAUUAUGUGAAUGAGUAAGUUCACUAGGAUUGUCACAGAGGGGAGAAGGGACUUUAGAUUUGUACUGAUCAAUAAGGUAGCAAGUACAUGUGACUAUUUAAAUUUAUUAAAAGGACAAGAAUUUAAAAUGCAAUUCCUUAGGAGCCAACCACAUUUCAAAUAUUCAACAGCCACAUUUGGCCAGCGACUUACUGUGUAGGUCAGCAUAGAUAUAGAAUAUGCCCAUGAUAGCAGGAAGUUCCACUGGACAGUGCUGGUGUGGAAAGUCAUGCAAGAAGGUGGAUGGCAUUCAGACUGGGCAAACUCCACAUGAGAUAGCCUGGGACCUGCGAUGUGGGGCCCUUUACUGGAGUGCUUGCAUUUAUACCUGGACAAAUGUUCCAGGAGCAACAGAAUACAAAGAAACUAUAAGGGACUAAAAGUAACUGCAUGCAUGCACAGUUGGGGCAGUUAUGAACAAUAAGAUGCAAAUAGGCCACAAACCAACUGCCCUUUCUGAGGUGCUGAGAGCAGAAGCAGGGAGCCGUGCAUGAUCCAGGCUCCACCAUGGGAGUGGGUAGGCUACUGAAACCACCCCUCCUGCCUGACCCAUUGAUCUGUCGCCACCCUCGCUCCAUUUAAGGAAGCAGCUCACCUCCCUCCUGGUGGGUGAACAAGGGAACUGGUUACUUCUUUUCACUCCCUUGGGCUGCAGAAUGAGUCCUGAUAAAGCCUGGUCUGAAAUCCUUUUCUUGACUUUUUAUCAAUUUCUAUUGAUUGAAGGGUCUAAGGUCAUGAUUCAGUAACAAACACAAAGACUUGAGUUGAAUGUUCUGCGAGUGGAUAGCUUUAUCCAGAGAAAGCAAAAGGUAAGAAGAAAAGAGGAGGUUCUCUGGUGUAUACUGCCAUUUAGAGGUGCAUGGAGGAGGAAGUGGUACCAGCCAGUUAACCUGAAAAGGAAUGGUGGGAAGAAUGGCAUCAGGAAAAUGGAAUCAUAGAAGUUCAGCAAGGAGAGUAGACAAGUCCAGAGCUGCUAAGAAUGCCUGGUAAUGUAGAAAAUCUCAUGGAAACCGAAAACUGAUCUUGAAUCCUAAAAAAUAAGAAGUCACCUGUCAAAGCCUAAAAAGCUAAGGAAGAUUUUCCCCCAGAGCCUCCAGAAGGAAUGUGGUCCUGCUGAUUGACUUCUGUCCUCCAGAGCUUUGAAAGAAGCAAUUUCUGUCCUUUGAGCCAGCUGUUUGUAUUGAUUUGUUAUAGCUGCUGCAGGAAACAAACACAAAGGCAUUCAGGAGCAAAUAGGUGUAACGAUGGAGUUCCCUGGUGGAUCUCAUCACUGCUAUGGCUCAGGUGGCUGCU